UACAACCAUCUACCAUCUGUUAGGUGAUUUGUUUCACAUUCAGUUUCUCUUUCAAUUUUAAGAAUACCUAAGACUGGAGAACAGAUAUUGUGGAUCCCAUUCAACAGAUGAUGAAACCAAGAGUCUCAUGAACUUGGUGAAUGAAGGAUGCAGACGUUUGGACUCUAAGACCAUUAUGGCUUCCAUCUCAUCCUGUUGCCAGUUGUUCCUUAUGCACUCAAAACCUCAAUUUAUAAACAGGAUCGUCUUCUCCCUAUGCCAAGCCAACUUGCUGUCACCCUCAGCAAGGUGAGGUGUCAAAUCUCAGUUUGUCUAUCUUCCUCUGAAAUCUUCCCCAACUUUCUACAACUGCCUGGGUUCGGUGCCUGUCCUCUGCAUCUCCACAGCAUGCAUUGCCUUUCAAUUCUGAGCACUCACUCAACAAACAGCACGUUCACCACAAAAAAUAAGUUGGUGAGGUGAUGGAUAUGUUAAUUAGCUCGACUGACUUUUCCUACAAUGUAUACAGGGAUCGACACAUUACAUUGUACCCCAUAAAUAUACACAAUAAUUAUCUACCAAUUAAAAAUAAAUGAAUGAAAAUAAAACAA